CAAUAAGAAAAUUCGGUCAUGAUUGUCAAUAAGGAGAUGUGGACAUGAUUGUCAAUAAGGAGAUUCGGUCCUGAUUGUACAUGUCAAUAAGGAGAUUCGGUCCUGAUUGUUAACAGACAUUUAGCUUGAAUAAAACAAGAUGGUGGGUAAACUGUACGCAAUUGAGAUAACAACCCGUCAUCAAAAUCGAGGUGACGACAA
rnacentral:lncRNA from 1 species